GCAAAACCUGCAGUUUUAGUCUUUAUUUAUUGAUUAAAUAAAUGAUUAUUUUCAUUGAUAACAAUUUUAGGCCUGAAAUUAACAGCAGAUUGUGUACAGGAAUCUAAAAGAUUUCUUGAUGUUAUUUUUUAGAAUGACGGCUCUUGGAGGAGGCUUAGUUAAUCAUUCUGCUUUGCUUUUAUUCCUCAUUAAUAUGUGCUUUUGUUUAUAUACAUCGUUGGAGAUUGAGUGACUUGCAUAUGAAUGCUUCUUAAUGCUAGGAAAGGUCUGGCCUUGAGUGAACAUCUUUACUUUUGUCUCCUGAUCUAUGCCAGUUCUUGUGCAGCCAACUGCAUGGUGUUUAGGCAGGGGGUUGAAGGGUGCCCUGUGUGGGGGAGGCCAUGAGACACCUGUGACAGCCUUAAAUGGCUCUGAUGCCAAUGGGAACAGUCAGUGGGAGCCUCACCCUGAAAUAUUUAGCAAAGAGCGACAGCCACUGAGGAAAGAAGACUUGUAAGGAGUCAGCUGAGAAGCGGAGGAUACACAGAGGGACCACUGUUGGAGACAUAGCUGGAGACACACCCUGGGAAGGAGAUGCUCUGUGACAAUGGAGGGACUUCUGAGAGACUGUGGUUGUGGGACACCCGCUCCAACAGGUCAAGAGGGGUAUACAAUGAACUCUUGCUUAACAAGCAAGGUAUAAACAAGUGGGAUUCUGCUGAGGCUGGAGCCGCUACCUGCCGCAAAAUUUCUUGUGGACAAUCUAUGUGUUUUCUCUUUUUAUUUUGGAGUUGUUUAGCCUGAAAGUUUCAUCCAUUUAUAAAGGUUUCUGUUGGGGACAGGACACUGCACUAUGUGGAUCUUUGAUGUGGCCCAGGGUGGCAGUGCUGUGUGUGUCAUGGCGGGAGGAGCGCCGCACCAGGGCAGAUGGGACACAACUGAAUUCCAUGGAAGCAUAGUAUCCACCACUGCUUCCUUUUGAAGAAGUGUUGG
rnacentral:lncRNA from 1 species